rnacentral:rRNA from 1 species
CCUACGGGGGGCAGCAGUGGGGAAUAUUGGGCAAUGGGCGCAAGCCUGACCCAGCAACGCCGCGUGAGGGAAGAAGGUCUUCGGAUUGUAAACCUCUGUCCUUGGGGACGAAAAAAAUGACGGUACCCAAGGAGGAAGCUCCGGCUAACUACGUGCCAGCAGCCGCGGUAAUACGUAGGGAGCGAGCGUUGUCCGGAAUUACUGGGCGUAAAGGGUGCGUAGGCGGCAUGGCAAGUCAGAUGUGAAAUUCCCGGGCUUAACUCGGGGGGUGCAUUUGAAACUGCUGAGCUUGAGUGCAGG